rnacentral:rRNA from 3 species
UGGGGAAUAUUGCACAAUGGGCGCAAGCCUGAUGCAGCAACGCCGCGUGCGGGAUGACGGCCUUCGGGUUGUAAACCGCUUUCAGCAGGGACGAAGCGCAAGUGACGGUACCUGCAGAAGAAGCACCGGCUAACUACGUGCCAGCAGCCGCGGUGAUACGUAGGGUGCGAGCGUUGUCCGGAUUUAUUGGGCGUAAAGAGCUUGUAGGCGGUCGGUCACGUCGAAAGUGCAAACUCAGGGCUUAACCCUGAGCCUGCUUUCGAUACGGGCUGACUAGAGGAAGGUAGGGGAGAAUGGAAUUCCCGGUGGAGCGGUGGAAUGCGCAGAUAUCGGGAGGAACACCAGUGGCGAAGGCGGUUCUCUGGACCUUUCCUGACGCUGAGAAGCGAAAGCGUGGGGAGCAAACAGG